rnacentral:rRNA from 1 species
UACGUAGGGUGCAAGCGUUAAUCGGAAUUACUGGGCGUAAAGCGUGCGCAGGCGGUUUCGUAAGUCUGUCGUGAAAUCCCCGGGCUUAACCUGGGAACUGCGGUUGAAACUGGCGAACUAGAAUCUGGCAGAGGGGGGUGGAAUUCCACGUGUAGCAGUGAAAUGCGUAGAGAUGUGGAGGAACACCGAUGGCGAAGGCAGCCCCCUGGGCUGAGAUUGACGCUCAGGCACGAAAGCGUGGGGAGCAAACAGG